UACAGAGGUCUCAAGCGCUGUUCGGAUUCAUUGGGCGUAAAGGGUGCGUAGGUGGCGGGGUAAGUCAGGUGUGAAAUUUCGGAGCUCAACUCCGAAACUGCAUUUGAUACUGCCUUGCUUGAGGACUGGAGAGGAGACUGGAAUUCACGGUGUAGCAGUGAGAUGCGUAGAUAUCGUGAGGAAGACCAGUGGCGAAGGCGGGUCUCUGGACAGUUCCUGACACUGAGGCACGAAGGCCAGGGGAGCAAACGGG
rnacentral:rRNA from 1 species